rnacentral:lncRNA from 1 species
UCAGGGACGAUUGACCUUCAAGGAUGUGGCCAUAGAAUUCUCUCAGGAGGAGUGGGAGUGCCUGGACCCGCUCAGAGGGCCUUGUACAGGGACGUGAUGCUGGAGAACUACAGGAACCUGGUCUCCCUG